UGGGGAAUCUUGCACAAUGGGGGAAACCCUGAUGCAGCGACGCCGCGUGAGCGAUGAAGGUUUUCGAAUCGUAAAGCUCUGUCCUAUGGGAAGAUAAUGACGGUACCAUGGGAGGAAGCCCCGGCUAACUACGAGCCAGCAGCCGCGGUAAUACGUAGGGGGCGAGCGUUGUCCGGAAUUACUGGGCGUAAAGGGUUCGCAGGCGGCAUGGCAAGUCCGAUGUAAAAGGCGAAGGCUCAACCUUCGUAAGCAUCGGAAACUGUCAAGCUUGAGUGAAGGAGAGGCAAGUGGAAUUCCUAGUGUAGCGGUGGAAUGCGUAGAUAUUAGGAGGAAUACCGGUGGCGAAGGCGACUUGCUGGACUUCAACUGACGCUGAGGAACGAAAGCGUGGGUAGCAAACAGG
rnacentral:rRNA from 1 species